rnacentral:rRNA from 1 species
UACGAAGGGGGCUAGCGUUGCUCGGAAUCACUGGGCGUAAAGCGCACGUAGGCGGCUUCUUAAGUCAGGGGUGAAAUCCUGGAGCUCAACUCCAGAACUGCCUUUGAUACUGAGGAGCUCGAGUCCGGGAGAGGUGAGUGGAACUCCGAGUGUAGAGGUGAAAUUCGUAGAUAUUCGGAAGAACACCAGUGGCGAAGGCGGCUCACUGGCCCGGUACUGACGCUGAGGAGCGAAAGCGUGGGGAGCGAACAGG